rnacentral:lncRNA from 1 species
UAAGCGAUAGUUCUUAAUAGAAAGCUGAGCAAUUGCCAGUUCAGCUCGCUGUGCCCUUCGUUCUGAUUCGUUCGUAUUCUUAUCUCUUAGGCACUGAUGCAUCUGUGACACCAGGAACCGAUUCUCUGCCGUCUCUCGCUGUGGUUGGAGCCUUUUUUUGAGGAAUCCUAACAGGAAGAUGAGUGCCGUCGGCUUGCAGGAUGAUGAAGAUACCUUUAAGAUACUGAUUGCUACUGAUAUUCAUCUGGGCUAUUUGGAGAAGGACCCAGUGCGAGGAAAUGACACAUUUGUAACUUNGCAGAAGAGACGUACAUUCCUUGUGGGAUUCUUUGAAGUCCACAAUAAAAGUGAACAUCGGUGUGGUUGGUUUUGGUUUUGUUUAGCUGGUUGGGUUUAUUUUGCUUGUGUUGGUUUGGGUUUUUUGUUUUCCCUGGCCUAAGGAGACAAACAGCAACAGCCAGUGCGGAAGAUUUAUUAAGCUGCAGAUCUGUUUUUCUCCUGCUGUGUGGGAAAGCACAAACUUUGUAGAAUUCAUGGUUUCUCUCUUGUUUUUAGAGAUUUUCUGAAUAUGCUCAAGAACUCCAUCCCUCCUCAGUCAUGUCUGGUUUUGGAGUGUUUCAUACAACAGAAUGUGCUCAUUCCACUGGCAAGAAAUAAAACAUCUCCUAUUUUUUAUUCAGCCCCUGGGGCGGCAUUUGGCACAGAAAGCUGACAGAGUUGUUAAACUCGACGUAGUUAAUGAAACUGCUUCCAGCAGUUAUUUAUAGGUAGAUCUCUUGUGAGAGUGCCUUGCAUUGCUAGAUAGGCUUCUAAUGUAACUAUGUUAUACUUAGAGUUCAUAAUCCCACCACAGACUUCUCAGUCACAAAAAUGACAGUCUUACCACAGGGUUGUUUUACUCUUUUUAAUAGAGUUCUAAUUAAAACACUAUAAAAUAUAGAUAGACCACAAAAAAUGUUUUAUUGUCUUGUUUUGUCCCCUACAGGGGCCAUUCCAGAUGAGAGGUUGUAUCGUAUGUUUGUCAAUAAACAAGUGACCAUGCUGAGACCAAAGGAAGAUGAAGACAGUUGGUUUAACUUGUUUGUGAUUCAUCAGAAUAGGUAGCAGUGCUGAAUGAAUUAUGGUGACAUAAACUUACCGUGUGUUCUCGUGAAACUGCUUUGAAAACUGCAGGAGAGAAAGCCAGCUGUGUUGGCUGGUGCUUCGUGUGAGUGGAUGGCCUCAAGAUAUUCCCAAUUAGAAGCACUGCUUUACAGCUGUUCUUACAGAAGAACCAUAAUGGAAACGAGUUGAAAUAAAUGAGUUGGAGAUGCUGGGAAGUUGCUUCCCAAACUCUUCAUACCUGAGAGCCAGGGAGGAUUUCAUUUAAGUCUAAAGUCUGCCUGUUAGAANCUGCUUCUGAGGGGGUGACACUGAGAGUGGAAGACCUUGUAAAGCAGUACUUUCAGACAGCAGAGAAGGUAUCUGUGUGCCUUUCAUGGAUUUGUGUAUGGGAUAUAUUUUUCCUUUAGUUGCACGUAUUACUUAAUUUAUGGAUGCAGUAUAUGCUGAAAAGACUGACAGCCACCGAGAAGUUCCUUUAUUUCCUAUAUAACUGUAUAUGCCUUAGGUAAGCAAUUAAUUGUUGCACGUAGGGUGCAUAGGGUGUAUGAACACACCCUGUUUUGGUAAAUCACAGUAGUUCUUCAUGUGAUGCAGUAGCAUCUGCCCUGCUCUAAAUGUUGCAUCCUGUUGCUACAGAAGGAAAGCCUGGGGCAGCAUGAGCUCAGAAGCUGCCUUCAUUUAUUAUGGGGAGCCAGUGAGGCCGUACCAGUUACAAGUACCAGCUGAGUUGGAAUCAUUUGUUAUACUGCAGUGUGUUUGGUGUCCUCAGACAUAGUGCAGUUCCACAUGUUUAAAGCGGAGCAGAGAGGCCAAAGGAAGCACCUGACAGUUUGCUUUUGUCUCACCCUUUCAUUAAACCAUAUCUACUGCCUUUCCCCAGCCAUGGGGCUGCAAAGUGUUAGGAGUAAAAUAUAGUGACCAGUGAGUCAGCCACCCAAAUGCUGAAUCUAGAAGCUAUUUCAGAACAUGCUUUAUAGAAGGUCUUUAGAACUAGGAUUCCUGAGGCAAAGAUCACCAAAUUUAUAUCACCUUGCCUAACACAGGCCCCUCUAAAUUAAGCUCUGGAACGGCUCAUUGCUGUCUGAAUACGGUAGGGAAUGGAACCCAGGAUGAGCAGUUGAGAAGCAAGCAGUGCUUCAAAUGUAUGCCAUCCCUGAAUCCCAUGGAGGGAAGUAGCAGGGUCAAACACUGUGCUAUUCUAUGAAGAAUAAUUCUGCUUUUAAACUGUUUUCCUCCCUUAUUCUGCAAAAUUGUCCCUCUUAGACCAUCUUCCCUGCUUCUUUGUAUAUUCUUAUAUAAACAGCUUGUAUAAACCAGUCCCAGCAUUUGAGGUCUGUUUCAGCUGCUCAGAAUCUCUAAAAGACCUGAACGAGUCAGCUGAUGUUCCUGGGAGGCUUACAGUAGGGGGAGAAUGCAUUUCAAGUCAACAGUGCUCAAGGAAGAAAGAAAAGUGGAGCAAGUAUGUUGCCCCCUAAGAUGGGGGCAGGGCUUGUGCUUCAGGCUCUGCUAGGCACCUUGUCUUGUCUGAUUAGGUGGGCAGAACAGCAGUCAGACCCUGAGGUGGCACAGGGCUGUAGUUGGGUGUUCCAAAAAUGUUAAACCCCAAAUGUCUAACAGGUGGCAGGCAGUUCGGUUCCACUGUUGCUGGUAAGCUGAGCCUUGGGAAAUGAAAUCACUGCUAUUUGUUUCUUUAGGAAGGUUUUUUUUUCCCCUCCUUCAGAGGAAACCUUAAUUGCUGAAUGUCAGCAUUAACGUUCUGCAUCAUUGCAGUCGGUCCCUCUCUUGAGGUGCUCACCUUAUUGUUUUGUGAACUUAAUUUUUUACAAUAGCAUAAAAAUCGAUUCCCCUGUUAAGCAUUAUUUCAGGGAACGUUUUUUGCUUCUGGUGUAACUCACAGUACAGUUCCUAAAGGACAAGUGGAAGGAUCAAGAGCAAUUAAGAAGUACAUAUAAUGCUUUUUAUUAAGAAAUUGUCCAUGCUUUUGUUUACAGUCAGAAGAAGUUGCUGUUGAAACACUUUCCUUAUAGGGGUUUCUUUCUCAGAGUGUCUUUUCUUACUCUACUGGGGUAAAGAAGAUGAAGAGAAUGGCAGUGAAACACCACCAGUAGCUUCUGUUACUUCUGCUAAUUAGCGCUGGUGGUAAUCUCUCAUGUAGAGUGUUUUGUUGAACAUCAUCUCACUUGAUGACCAAGUAUUGGUAUUCACACAGUUUCAUUUCAGUAGAGUAGAUUUCUGCUUCAUAGCUCUUUAAUGCUUCAGAAUAAUUUAGUCAGCUCUGUAACUGUCAGUUUUUUAAUAGUAGUAUUUUACAAUAAAACUAAUUAGCUUAGCUUUUGUAAUACUUCGGUGCCUGUUUCUAAUUACCUUUUAUGUCUCCACAAGUAGAUCUCCAUUAAUUUUAAAGUGGGGAGUGGGCUAGGAAAAAAAUACGGCUCACCAUCUCCCUCAGUGAUACCUUUGAGACAAAUUGUUCUAGAUACAACCAGCACUGCAAUUUCCUUACCACUUAUGAAAUAUAAUCUGGAUAUAUACUACAUUAGGUGAGGCGUAACGUGCUCAUAGCAAGUGAGCUGUCCCUGUUGGGAGGAGCGGUGUUUGCUUGUUGCUCGGUUAUGUUCUGAUUGAAAUCUUCAACGCUACUUCAUUGUCACUUCUUUUGAAUCCAAACGCGGUGUUUAGCUGGAGCAGCGGGAGCAUCACUCACUGAAACUGUUUUCCCCUUAUUUUAAAGAAAGUACAACUUU